AACGAACGCUGGCGGCAUGCCUAACACAUGCAAGUCGAACGAGACCUUCGAGUCUAGUGGCGCACGGGCGCGUAACGCGUGGGAACCUGCCCUUAGGUUCGGAAUAACUCCCCGAAAGGGGUGCUAAUACCGGAUAAUGUCUUCGGACCAAAGAUUUAUCGCCUUUGGAUGGGCCCGCGUUGGAUUAGCUAGUUGGUAGGGUAAAAGCCUACCAAGGCGACGAUCCAUAGCUGGUCUGAGAGGAUGAUCAGCCACACUGGGACUGAGACACGGCCCAGACUCCUACGGGAGGCAGCAGUGGGGAAUAUUGGACAAUGGGCGAAAGCCUGAUCCAGCAAUGCCGCGUGAGUGAUGAAGGCCUUAGGGUUGUAAAGCUCUUUUACCCGGGAUGAUAAUGACAGUACCGGGAGAAUAAGCUCCGGCUAACUCCGUG
rnacentral:rRNA from 1 species